UUUUAAUGGAGAGUUUGAUCCUGGCUCAGGAUGAACGCUGGCGGCGUGCUUAACACAUGCAAGUCGAACGAUGAAGACCGUGCUUGCACGGUUGGAUUAGUGGCGAACGGGUGAGUAUCACGUGAGUAACCUUCCCUUGACUCUGGGAUAAGCCCGGGAAACUGGGUCUAAUACCGGAUACGACCAGUCCUCGCAUGGGGUGCUGGUGGAAAGAUUUAUCGGUCUUGGAUGGACUCGCGGCCUAUCAGCUUGUUGGUGAGGUAAUGGCUCACCAAGGCGAUGACGGGUAGCCGGCCUGAGAGGGUGACCGGCCACACUGGGACUGAGACACGGCCCAGACUCCUACGGGAGGCAGCAGUGGGGAAUAUUGCACAAUGGGCGAAAGCCUGAUGCAGCGACGCCGCGUGCGGGAUGACGGCCUUCGGGUUGUAAACCGCUUUCAGCAGGGAAGAAGCGAAAGUGACGGUACCUGCAGAAGAAGCGCCGGCUAACUACGUGCCAGCAGCCGCGGUAAUACGUAGGGCGCGAGCGUUAUCCGGAAUUAUUGGGCGUAAAGAGCUCGUAGGCGGUUUGUCACGUCUGCUGUGAAAGCCCGAGGCUCAACCUCGGGUGUGCAGUGGGUACGGGCAGACUAGAGUGCAGUAGGGGAGACUGGAAUUCCUGGUGUAGCGGUGAAAUGCGCAGAUAUCAGGAGGAACACCGAUGGCGAAGGCAGGUCUCUGGGCUGUUACUGACGCUGAGGAGCGAAAGCAUGGGGAGCGAACAGGAUUAGAUACCCUGGUAGUCCAUGCCGUAAACGUUGGGCACUAGGUGUGGGGGACAUUCCACGUUUUCCGCGCCGUAGCUAACGCAUUAAGUGCCCCGCCUGGGGAGUACGGCCGCAAGGCUAAAACUCAAAGGAAUUGACGGGGGCCCGCACAAGCGGCGGAGCAUGCGGAUUAAUUCGAUGCAACGCGAAGAACCUUACCAAGGCUUGACAUGGACCGGAUCGCUGCAGAGAUGCAGUUUCCCUUCGGGGUCGGUUCACAGGUGGUGCAUGGUUGUCGUCAGCUCGUGUCGUGAGAUGUUGGGUUAAGUCCCGCAACGAGCGCAACCCCUAUCCUAUGUUGCCAGCACGUAAUGGUGGGGACUCAUGGGAGACUGCCGGGGUCAACUCGGAGGAAGGUGGGGACGACGUCAAAUCAUCAUGCCCCUUAUGUCUUGGGCUUCACGCAUGCUACAAUGGCCGGUACAAUGGGUUGCGAUACUGUGAGGUGGAGCUAAUCCCUAAAAGCCGGUCUCAGUUCGGAUCGAAGUCUGCAACUCGACUUCGUGAAGUUGGAGUCGCUAGUAAUCGCAGAUCAGCAACGCUGCGGUGAAUACGUUCCCGGGCCUUGUACACACCGCCCGUCAAGUCACGAAAGUGGGUAACACCCGAAGCCGGUGGCCUAACCCUUGUGGGGGGAGCCGUCGAAGGUGGGACUCGCGAUUGGGACUAAGUCGUAACAAGGUAGCCGUACCGGAAGGUGCGGCUGGAUCACCUCCUUUCU
rnacentral:rRNA from 1 species